GCAUCAUCAUGCUCAUUUGUUUUGGCAUUACUGCAGUCCUCCUGCUUCCUCCAUGUCUUCAAGCUCACUGGGGUACACCUGGGGAUGGAGGCCAGUGAAUGUUAGCUGUUCAUCGGUGCUUGGGAAAGUUCAUUUUGGCUUAGAUUUCAGCUUGAUGAGGCUGAUCUUUUGACAGCCAUUUUACUCUCAUGCAUAUUUUUCACUUGAUUCAGAACUGGGAAGGAACAGAUGUGAUUACUUAACACCCCAAAGCAACAAGGUGGAUUCUGGAGGCAGAAGAUUCGGGUUUGAAUCUCAAUCCUUUCAUUUACUAACUUUGUAAUCUUUCACAAAUUACCCUCUCUGAGCCUCAGUUUACUCAUCUGGAACAUGGGGAUCAUGAUAAUUAGCCAGCUACAGAGCUAUGUCUUGACCAAGUUGGGCUUUCCACUGAGGAAGUCAAAAGUCAUCCAUGAAGUCUCCUCUAGACUGAUUGAAGUCUCAUCUGUUCUCCCCCCCCGAGCCACCUUAGAAUCAUGUGCUCCCACCGAGCCAACACUCCGAUGCUCAGUGAUGAGUUUCCCAAUGGUCUUCAGGGUCCAAGAGAGAGGGUGGACUGAAGUUCAUUUCUGAGGAGCAGAGAGAACCAGCGCCUCCUCCCUCCGCAAUGGGGAUGCACCAAAAGUACCAGGAACUUAGCAUGGCCCAUGAGUUCUUAGUAACUGAUUGUGUGUCUCUGUGUAUGUGUGUGUCUGUGUGUGUGUAAUACGUGGGAUCUUCUAAGAUGUAGGUCCUAGGGAAGGGUCCAUUUUCCUGGGCCUAAUGGUGUCAUAGAUCCUGUGGUGUUUUGGAGAAGGGAGAGAAGAGGGCCUCAUUAUGACUUUCAUGGGUCUUAGGCCACUUCUCCAUAAAAACAUAUUAAAUAUUAUAUCUUACAACUGCGUUGGUAUAAACAUGAAUAUUCCUCACAUUGGUUCAUUUGUUCAUAUUUAUUAUUACUAUAGUCACUUUUGGUUAAU
rnacentral:lncRNA from 1 species